GACUGCCCGCAUAGAGAUACGGCGGCUAAGGCGUUAUUAAAGUUGCUCAUCCAAGCGCCCUCAUGUUUGUUCGUACCAAUUUUAAUGGACGGGAAGCCUACUGACGAACAUCCUUUUCCCGAGAAAUGGUUCGGCGACGACACAUGUUAAGAAGUCACGCCAGGGGGGCUGAAUUAAGGUCGACCGUUUCAGCUGCAAUGAUGUAAAGUGAUGCAGUGGACAACUUGUGAGGGUGAUACCAUCCACAUGCACCUUAACUGUGAUGCAGACAUACAAUAGGAUGAUCCAUCUGUCUACACUUCAAAAUCACAACUCAACCUUAAACAACCCAUAUCUGUUAUGGUAAAACAAUGUGGCGGUUUUCCAGACAGGGCUUAUACUGUUCCCGGGCUAAAAUGCAUGUUUGAGCUACUGUAAUUAAGAAAACACCUUGUACUGACACAUCUCAACAUAUAUCAGUGCCAUUGUUUUGUUUCAAGAUGCACACCAGUCUUGUUUUUGUAAGGUUUGUUUCUUAAAACUAAAAUGUCCUAAUAUAAGUGCCCAGUCCUGGUUUAAUCUAAACCAUUGGUGACCAAACCUGUGUCUUGAGAUCUACUGUCCUGCAGAGUUCAGCUCCAACCCCAAUCAAACACACCUGAACCUGCCAAUCAAGCAUUUCAGGGCAACCUUAAAAUUAUAGUCAGGUGUGUUUGUUAAAGCUGGGUUAGAACUAAAAUAUGCAGGAGGGUAGAUCUCCAGGAACAGGGUUGGUCACCCCUGAUCUAAACAAAGGGUUUCCAAACUGUGUCCUGCAAAGUUUAGCUCUAACCCUAAUCAAACACACCUGAAGCAGCCAAUGAAGGUCUUACUAAACAUACUAGAAACUUACUGGCAGGUGCUCUGAUGCAAGUUAGAGCUAAACUCUGCAGGACACCGGCCCUCCAGGACUGAGUUUGGGCACCCCUGACUAAGCCCUGCCUGGGAAACUGCACCAAUGUGUUAAGCUGGCACCAUUGGACAUUACUGCGGCUGAGAAACAACCACAUUUCUCAGCUCUACACAGGGUUGACAUUGGAUGCAUUAUUAUUAUAAAAUGCAUUCAUGUGCACUUUACCAAUACUGUACAUACAUCAACAGCUUCCAGCUAUACACUUGGGAUCAGCUCCUGAUGCCUCUCAUAAUGCUGUGUUAUAAUUUAUUGCAGGGUGAUCUUGCUGAAAGGAUAUUUUAAAAAACCUUUACAAUGUCACCAGAUGUUACCUGUGGUGAAUAAUUAUUUUAUAAACCUUUACAAUCUCACCAGAUGUUACCUGUGGUGAAUAAUUAUUUUUAUAAACCUUUACAAUCUCACCAGUUGUUACAUGUUGUGAAUGGUUAU